UACGUAGGGGGGCGAGCGUUUGUCCGGAAUUAUUGGGCGUAAAGAGCGUGUAGGCGGUUCGGUAAGUCUGCCGUGAAAACCUGAGGCUCAACCUCGGGCGUGCGGUGGAUACUGCCGGGCUAGAGGACGGUAGAGGCGAGUGGAAUUCCCGGUGUAGCGGUGAAAAUGCGCAGAUAUCGGGAGGAACACCAGUAGCGAAGGCGGCUCGCUGGGCCGUUCCUGACGCUGAGACGCGAAAAGCUAGGGGGAGCGAACAGG
rnacentral:rRNA from 1 species